rnacentral:rRNA from 1 species
AGAGUUUGAUCAUGGCUCAGGAUGAACGCUAGCGGCAGGCUUAACACAUGCAAGUCGAGGGGUAUAGGUUUUCGGACCUAGAGACCGGCGCACGGGUGCGUAACGCGUAUGCAAUCUACCUUUUACGGAGGGAUAGCCCAGAGAAAUUUGGAUUAAUACCUCAUAGUAUUAUUGAAUGGCAUCAUUUAAUAAUUAAAGUCACAACGGUAAAAGAUGAGCAUGCGUCCCAUUAGCUUGUUGGUAAGGUAACGGCUUACCAAGGCAACGAUGGGUAGGGGUCCUGAGAGGGAGAUCCCCCACACUGGUACUGAGACACGGACCAGACUCCUACGGGAGGCAGCAGUGAGGAAUAUUGGUCAAUGGGCGCAAGCCUGAACCAGCCAUGCCGCGUGCAGGAUGAAGCAUCUAUGGUGUGUAAACUGCUUUUGUACGAGAAGAAACACUCCUUCGUGAAGGAGCUUGACGGUAUCGUAAGAAUAAGGACCGGCUAACUCCGUGCCAGCAGCCGCGGUAAUACGGAGGGUCCAAGCGUUAUCCGGAAUCAUUGGGUUUAAAGGGUCCGUAGGCGGUUUUGUAAGUCAGUGGUGAAAGCCCAUCGCUCAACGGUGGAACGGCCAUUGAUACUGCAAGACUUGAAUUAUUGGGAAGUAACUAGAAUAUGUAGUGUAGCGGUGAAAUGCUUAGAGAUUACAUGGAAUACCAAUUGCGAAGGCAGGUUACUACCAAUAUAUUGACGCUGAUGGACGAAAGCGUGGGGAGCGAACAGGAUUAGAUACCCUAGUAGUCC